ensembl:lncRNA
AUGGCCUACUCGUAUAGCAGGCUUGCAGAAGGCUGCUGUUUCCAAGAGGAGCCCCCUUGGCUUCCCCCCAGGGUGAGGUCAGGAGAUGCGUCACUCACUCUUAUCCCUCCCCCUUGCUUAGCAUUUCCCUGGCCUUCUCUAGGAAGCUUGGAGCAGCAAGCUGAACCCCCCCCCCCCCAUAUUUUCCUCCGCCUUUCUUCUUUCUUUCCAGCAAAGCUGUCAUUUGGAAGAAGACCCCCUCCCACCUUGCUUCUUCCAGGGGAUCCUCCUGCCAUCCCAAGGAGGUGCUGCUCUACCUUGAGGAGAUGUCUUUGUAAUUUGUGAAGUCUCUUGGAUCCAGGACAGAUGGCUCUCUACACACAAGUCAAGGUGGAGGAGGAGGAGGAGGAUGAUGAGAAGGUGGCCAUUCUGGGUGAGUUUUGUUGGACAGGUGCUGAAGGAAUGAAGGGAAAUGGGAUGCCAGCCCAGGACCACACUGUACCAAACUUGGUCCAGAACUGUAAUUUUGAAUAUACCAUGUAUACUCGAGUAUAAGCCGACCCGAAUGUAAGCCGAGGCACCUAAUUUUAUCACAAAAAACUGGGAUAACUUAUUGACUCGAGUAUAACCCGAGGGUGGGAAAUGCAGCAGCUACGGGUAAAUUUCAGAAAUAAAAAUAGAUACCAAUAACAUUUCAUUCAUCGAGGCAUCAGUAGGUUAAAUGUUUUUAAAUAUUCCCGUAUUUCAAAGAAAAGCAAUAAACUAGCUCUAUAAGUGGAAAAGUAGGGGCAACAAAAACAAUAUGGUAUCAACAAAACCUAAUAAUAAUAAUAAUAACAACAACAACAACAACAACGGGUGCUCUGUGCCAAAAGAUCUCAGCCGGCAUUUGGAAACAAUAGACAUUGACAAAAUCAUGAUCUGCCAACUGCAAAAGGCCACCCUACUGGGAUCUGCACGCAUCAUCCGAAAAUACAUCGCACAGUCCUAGACACUUGGGAAAUCACAAGUUCGACUUGUGGUUUUGUGAUAUGAAAUCCAGCAUAUCUAUCUUGUUUGCUGUGUCAUAUAAAAUAAUAAUAAUAAUAAUAAUAAUAAUAAUAAUAAUAAUAAUAAUAAAAACUUCAUUUGGAUCCCACCCUAUCUCCCCAUGGGGACUCAGGCUAGCUUCCAACAUAGUAACAGGCAAACAUUCAAUGCUUAUAUAAACAAUGCAGAGUUAGAUAUAGAUCUAUAAUUAUAGAUACUAAUUUCACAUAUGCAUUUCCCUCUGAAAUGUUUGCAAAUCCCUCUGUGUCUCUAUGUGCAUUUCCCCUACAAUACUUGCAAGCCCCAUAUAUAUAUAUAUAUAUAUAUAUAGACAUGUCUAUAUAUAUUUGUGUGUUCAUUUUCCCCCUGUAAUAUUUGCAAGUCCUAUAUAAAGGUAGGUAAGAAUAUAUUCAUAUCUUUCCAGAUAUCUCUCUUUAUAUAGAUAUUUGCAGAGACUUGUAAACAUAUGAGGGUAAAUUCAUAUAUAAAAAUAAUGUAUAUGUAUGGCUACAGAUACACAGGUACAUGGAUCUAUAUGUAUAAAGGAUUUGCAAAGACCUGCAAACAUAUGAGGGGAAAUUCAUAUAUAAAAAUAAUGUAUAUAGAUAGAUACACAAAUAAAUGUUGAAAAUGUAAAAAUCAGGAAGGAUCAUCCUACCAUACAUGGUGGACAUGUGAUAAAACCAAAAAAUACUGGAAAACAAUUCAUGAAGAAACGCAAAUACAGUAGAGUGUCACUUAUCCAACAUAAACGGGCUGGCAGAAUGUUGGAUAAGCAAAUAUGUUGGAUAAUAAGGAGGGAUUAAGGAAAAGCCUAUUAAACGUCAAAUUAGGUUAUGUUUUUACAAAUUAAGCACCAAAACAUCAUGUUAUACAACAAAUUUGACAGAAAAAGCAGUUCAAUACGCAGCAAUGCUAUGUAGUAAUUACUGUAUUUACGAAUUUAGCACCAAAACAUCACAAUGUAUUGAAAACAUUGACUACAAAAAUACGUUGGAUAAUCUAGAACGUUGGAUAAGCGAAUGUCGGAUAAGUGAGAUUCUACUGUAUUUACGAAUUUAGCACCAAAACAUCACAAUGUAUUGAAAACAUUGACUACAAAAACAUUGACAACUAAAGGACAGACAGCGUUGGCAUAAUCCAGAAUGUUGCAUAAGUGAAUGCUGGAUAUGUGAGACUGUACUGUAAUUAUAAAUAAAAACUUUCCGAUGAAACAAGAAUAUUACUUUGUUAGGAAUCACUGACGUAGAAGACUGAUUUUG